UUGCUUGAUGAGAAGAUCCUACACAACUGCAUAAAGAGCUAGUGGAAGAAGUCAUACCAGAGAUGGAGCCACACAGGAAGUCUUAGGGACCGAAACUUCAUCGAUGGAGUUGGUGCAAGAAGAUAUACAUCCAACAAUGGUGGAUAGUAACGAUGCCGAUCCCAUGCACGAGGAUUUGCUGAAUGAAAUAUACCCACACAGCUGAUCUGGCCAUCACAUGGAAGUGUGGUCUUCUAUGACAACAUCAUUCAUGUCUUCCUCUGCUCUAGCGUUGACAUCGCGUGCAAGUACGAGGUGA